AACAACCUCAAGCAAAAUUUAAAAGCUGUUUGCUAAAUAAGAGCAAUUGAGAAUUUGUGUCAUUAAUUGUUGACAAUAAUAAUCGUGACUAAUCGACUAUCAGAAUAGUCGUUAGUUGCAGCCCUGAUCUGAAGGUGUCUGCCAUAUGUGACAUUGUAAUUUAAUGUUAAAUAACGCUCAUUAUCCAUCCCUGUGUGGUCUCUUACCAUUAAGACUGUCACAGUUCCUCUGUGCCUCCAGUGCCCCUCCCCUUCUUGUUUCUCUUUUCCCGCAGGUGCAGCACAUCUCGGUGAUGACCCGGCUCUCCAGGCGCACCUGCACUAAUCAUCUCCGGGCUUUAUCUGCCCUGGCUGUGCUGCGAGUCAUCGCCAGUUCGUCCUCGUUGCUACAGUGGACUGAAACCUUGGACUCUCGUGUCUACCUCCAUGCUGAAGACCUCACGGAGAUCUCAGCCGACCUGUCUACCUCCACGCUGAAGACCUCACGGAGAUCUCAGCCAACCUGUCUACCUCCACGCUGAAGUCCUCACGGAGUUCUCAGCCGUCCUGUCUACCUCCCCGCUGAAGACCUCACGGAGUGUCAGCGGACCCGCCUAUCUGUUCUCUCCUACUGCAAUAAACUUCCUUGAACACA